rnacentral:lncRNA from 1 species
CUUGGCUCAUCAGGCAAGAAGAGUGUGAGCUGAGAGGAUUCAAAAGGAAAGUGAGGAUGGGAGGGGGACUGGAGGCGGGAAGAGGAGGAGCCACUGGUCUAACCUUGUCAACAAGCAGUCAUGGACUCCUUGUGCCACAGCUGGUUCUCCGGCCAGACCCUCAUGCUCCAAAUGAGCCUCCAUCUCGGAGAAAUGUUACCACGAUUGUUGAUGAUGAGCAGAGGAUAUGAGAGACGAAACAAGGGAAAAAAGGUAAGAUAAAUAAGCAUGAAAGACAGUCAU